rnacentral:rRNA from 1 species
GAUGAACGCUAGCUACAGGCUUAACACAUGCAAGUCGAGGGGCAGCAUGAAAGGAACUUCGGUUCUUUUUGAUGGCGACCGGCGCACGGGUGCGUAACGCGUAUCGAACCUGCCUCAUACUCGGGGAUAGCCUUGCGAAAGUAAGAUUAAUACCCGGCGGUCUCGGAUGGCCGCAUGACUAUCCGAGUGAAGAUUUAUCGGUAAGCGAUGGGGAUGCGUUCCAUUAGGCAGUUGGCGGGGUAACGGCCCACCAAACCUACGAUGGAUAGGGGUUCUGAGAGGAAGGUCCCCCACAUUGGAACUGAGACACGGUCCAA